rnacentral:rRNA from 1 species
GCAGUAGUUAUAUGCUUGUCUCAAAGAUUAAGCCAUGCAUGUCUAAGUACAUGCCGUAUUAAGGCGAAACCGCGAAUGGCUCAUUAAAUCAGUUAUGGUUCCUUGGAUCGUACUUUACUACUUGGAUAACUGUGGCAAUUCUAGAGCUAAUACAUGCAGUAGAGCUCCGACCUUCGGGGACGAGCGCUUUUAUUAGACCAAAACCAAUCGGGCUUUGCCCGUGAAAGGUGGUGACUCUGUAUAACUUUGGGCUGAUCGCACGGGCUUGUCCCGGCGACGUAUCUUUCAAGUGUCUGCCUUAUCAACUGUCGAUGGUAGGUUACGCGCCUACCAUGGUCGUAACGGGUAACGGGGGAUCAGGGUUCGAUUCCGGAGAGGGAGCCUGAGAAACGGCUACCACAUCCAAGGAAGGCAGCAGGCGCGCAAAUUACCCACUCCCGGCACGGGGAGGUAGUGACGAAAAAUAACAAUACGGGACUCUUUUGAGACCCCGUAAUUGGAAUGAGUACACUCUAAAUCCUUUAACGAGUAUCUAUUGGAGGGAAAGUCUGGUGCCAGCAUCUGCGGUAACUCCAGCUCCAAUAGCGUAUAUUAAAGUUGUUGCGGUUAAAAAGCUCGUAGUUGGAUCUCAGUUCGAGACGGAUGGUCCGCCUACCGGUGGUUACUGUCUGUUCUCAACACCAGCCGGUUUCUCUAGAUGAUCUUCACCGGUUGUCUUGGGUGACCGGCAAGUUUACUUUGAAAAAAUUAGAGUGCUCAAAGCAGGCGUGACGCCUGAAUAAUGGUGCAUGGAAUAAUGGAAUAGGACCUCGGUUCUAUUUUGUUGGUUUUCGGAACACGAGGUAAUGAUUAAGAGGGACAGACGGGGGCAUUCGUAUUGCGACGCUAGAGGUGAAAUCUUGGACGCGCACGACGACUAUGCGU